AAUUUUAACUGAAAAUAGGUGAUCUUUUGACAAUAAAUAGGACAUGAACAAAAAACAAAAAACAAAAAAGCUUAGCAUCUCUCCCUAGGUGUGAUGUGCCCAUCUAUAAUUCAGCUCCCGGGGAGGCAGAAGAAAUGGGAUGGGAUCAUGUCUUCAGAGCUCUUUGUGGGAUUUCUCACCAGUACUGAACUCAGAAAGCAGUUCAGCCGCCAGCGAGAAUAGCCAGGAGCUUACUCCAUGUCACACAGCAAGUCAAGUAAUACGAGUGAAAUGUAGUUGCCUGCAUGUAUGUGUGUGCCUUGUGUGUUGUCUAAGUAGAGCUGAUAGGAGAAAAACAGAAAACUUAUAAGCCUGUUUCAUUUCCGUUGUUUAGCCAGCUGUUGCACAUAUGAAAGAUCUCAAAUCCUUAUUUAUGCAUCAAAGCUUAGGUUUAUGGUUUUGUGAGUGUGUGUGUGUGUGUGUGUGUGUGUGUUUAAAACAGGUUCACAAUGUUGCUCUAGCUGGCCUGGAAGAUGCUGUUCUGUCCUCAGGUUGCUUUGGUCCUACGUCAGGGACUGCAGGUGUAAACCUCUCCAUUCAGUGAUAAUAAGCAGAGAGAGAGAGAGAGAGAGCGUGCGCAUCCUGUUGCCAUUAAUAGGAAGACACUUUCACCAAGUAAUUUUCUAAAUAGGAAUUUUAAAGCCCCUCAUAAUCAAAGUUUAAUAUAUUUAAGUAUGCUGAAAUGAAGGUUUCUUGAAGGAGAUGGUGCUAGCUGAACAAUUUUAGUUCCUAGCCCUUCAUUAUAAAUAUGCAAAAUUGUUGAUAACAGGUUUUAUUAACUCUGGAUUAUAUCUUUUGUCUUGUUGGGUGUUUGGCUUUUUGUUCGUCCUGGUGUGUGAGUGUUCCCUCUGCUUUGCUGGUAGCCAUAUCAAUCUUUGGAGCAAGUAUCCUAGAGUUAAGAGUGCUGAGAUGUAUUUGUAAAGUUCCUAGUGAUUUGUCUAUAGGUUAUUUUAACAACCUCUCUAUAUAGAGGUAUAUUUUGACUAUAGUGAUACAUUCUUUGGCACAAAUAUAAGGGAAGAGGCCAAAGAACCGUGAAUAUUCAGUAUGGCCUCCUCUUACGUUGGUGAGUCGUCUUGCCAACAUCAGUUUGUGCUGUGAUAAAACGGCUGACUGACUAUAUUUGACUUUACAAACACAGCUCAUAGGAAAGAUUAAAUAUUUUUAUUGCGAUGUAUGGUCAUAUUUUUUUUAGCUUUAUGGAGUUAACAUUGUGAUAGGUGCUUUAAGAGAAAUAUUUUUCCAGAAAUGGUUUUAUAGCUAAACUAUGGGCAGCUUUUGCAUUGUGAUGUGUGGGUCGAUGGCUCUAUUUGGGUUACUAGGAAAUCAUGAAGUGUUCCCUAUGGAGAUACCUGUCCGCAUCCAUGGCAGAGAGAUCAGCAUGAAGUCUCAGUUGACUCCCUUUUCUCUCAUAGAGUGAGCUAGCACGUAAAUGACCAUGUGUGGCAUUACUUGGUUUACAGGACUCAGCGGGCUGGUUAGCGGUGGUGGGAAUAAGGCAUCAAUUCACAUUCCUCACCACAUACAGUGGGGCUGAGUCCGUUUCCAGUCUCUUAUGUGAAGGCCUCCCCAGCAGUCCCUGGAAGAGGCUCGCUGUUCAUUUUGAUGGUUACAAUUCUACCGUUGCAUCUCAGUAAUUGAAGGCUUUUAUCUUUGGAAAUGCUGUUAAAAUUCCAAAAACCAGUUUAGUUCUUCACCUAUGAGGAAAAUAGUUAAAGCACUUCAUGACAUUAAAGGGAAAGAGAAUCCUAUACCCAUGAUAGUUUCAAUACCUAAUCAAUAUUGAGUCCUCUGCACAGAAUGGGACGCUUCGUAGCAGUACUUGAAUACCUGUGAGUUGGAAUUGCAUGUUACUUGAAAGAUCUAAUUAAGCUAAAUUUUGGUGCACAGCAGUUGUACAUGAUUUCAUGUUUAUGUAGCAAAAUACAUUGAAAUGUACUAGGAUUGAAACAUAAAUGUAAAAAUAGUUGUGGAAAUUGUCUUAUUUUCCUUAUGUCUCAUUUGUUUAAAGCAUAAAUUUUCUUUUAAAAAAUUCUAACUAAGGAUAAAGGAAUACUGUAAUUGAAGAUAUAUUUUAAAUCUUUGUCAUGUUUUUUUUUUUAAAGCUAUUGCAAAUUGUAUCAUUCCUGACUAUAUAGAACUUUGUGGGUGGUAUAAAAUAAAUUUUAUACUUCU
rnacentral:lncRNA from 1 species